UCAAAACAGCGGACUUCGGUCCUUGCUGCACCCUUGUCUUUUGCGCACCGUAUUGUUUCCUCGGCGGGCUUGCCUGCCGGUUGGACAUUAUCAAAGCCUUUUUGUAGUUGCAAUCAGCGUCAGAAAAACAAUAAUUAUUA
rnacentral:misc_RNA from 1 species